CCUAAUUUUGGAAAUUUGAACACGUGCCAUGAAUAUCUGUAAAAUUCGGUUUACUCCUUGCAGCUAAAUGUAGCAGCAGUUUCUGUAGUGUAGUGGUUAUCACGUUCGCUUUACACGUGAAAGGUCCUCAGUUUGAAACCGGGAGGAAACAGUGCUCUUUGACAUGUGCAGUAGGUACUGUACUAUUAACAGAGAAUAGUUAUUUUCAUAAAUGCCUAAUUUUGGAAAUUUCAACACGUGCCAUGAAUAUCUGUAAAAUUCGGUUUACUCCUUGCAGAUAAUUGUUGCAGAAGUUUCUGUAGUGUAGUGGUUAUCACGUUCGCUUAACACGCGAAAGGUCCUCGGUUCAAAACCGGGCGGAAACAGAGCUCUUUGACACAUGCAGUAGGUACUGUACUUUCAACAAAGAAUUGUUAUUUUCAUAAAUUCUGUAUUUUGGAAAUUCGAAUACGUGCCAUGAAUAUCUGUAAAAUUCGGUUUACUCCUCGCAGCUAAAUGUAGCAGCAGUUUCUGUAGUGUAGUGGUUAUCACGUUCGCUUUACACGUGAAAGGUCCUCAGUUUGAAACCGGGAGGAAACACUGCUCUUUGACAUGUGCAGUAGGUACUGUACUAUUAACAGACAAUAGUUAUUUUCAUAAAUGCCUAAUUUUGGAAAUUUGAACACGUGCCAUGAAUAUCUGUAAAAUUCGGUUUACUCCUUGCAGAUAAUUGUUGAAGAAGUUUCUGUAGUGUAGUGGUUAUCACGUUCGCUUAACACGCGAAAGGUCCUCGGUUCGAAACCGGGCGGAAACAGAGCUCUUUGACACGUGCAGUAGGUACUGUACUUUCAACAAAGAAUUGUUAUUUUCAUAAAUUCUGUAU
rnacentral:tRNA from 1 species